GCUGUUGAGGCUGCGGAGCCAGGAGCUGAUGGUGGGGUGGCUGCGAGCCUUCUGCAGGUCCCCCACAUUCUGGCCCAGCAGCGUCGUCACGUUGC
rnacentral:pre_miRNA from 9 species